rnacentral:rRNA from 1 species
UACAGAGAGUGCGAACGUUGUUCGGAAUUACUGGGCUUAAAGCGCACGUAGGCGGCAUCGUAAGUGUCCGGUGAAAUCCCACGGCUCACCCGUGGAACUGCCUGGCAGACUGCGAUGCUCGAGUGUGGUAGGGGAGAGCGGAACUCCUGGUGGAGCGGUGAAAUGCGUAGAUAUCAGGAGGAACACCGGUGGCGAAGGCGGCUCUCUGGUCCACAACUGACGCUGAGGUGCGAAAGCUAGGGGAGCAAACGGG